rnacentral:rRNA from 1 species
AUUGAACGCUGGCGGCAUGCCUUACACAUGCAAGUCGAACGGCAGCGGGGGAGAAGCUUGCUUUUCCUGCCGGCGAGUGGCGAACGGGUGAGUAAUACAUCGGAACGUGCCCUGUAGUGGGGGAUAACUAGUCGAAAGAUUAGCUAAUACCGCAUACGACCUGAGGGUGAAAGUGGGGGACCGCAAGGCCUCAUGCUAUAGGAGCGGCCGAUGUCUGAUUAGCUAGUUGGUGGGGGAAAGGCCUACCAAGGCGACGAUCAGUAGCUGGUCUGAGAGGACGAUCAGCCACACUGGGACUGAGACACGGCCCAGACUCCUACGGGAGUCAGCAGUGGGGAAUUUUGGACAAUGGGCGAAAGCCUGAUCCAGCAAUGCCGCGUGUGUGAAGAAGGCCUUCGGGUUGUAAAGCACUUUUGUCCGGAAAGAAAUGGCUCUGGUUAAUACCUGGGGUCGAUGACGGUACCGGAAGAAUAAGGACCGGCUAACUACGUGCCAGCAGCCGCGGUAAUAC